GACGACGUAGCCAAGUUGGUUAAGGCGUUUGAUUAGAAAUCAAAUCCACUUUGUGGGCGUAGGUUCGAAUCCUGCCGUCGUCG